rnacentral:rRNA from 1 species
AGAGUUUGAUCCUGGCUCAGGAUGAACGCUGGCGGCAUGCCUAAUACAUGCAAGUCGAACGAACUAGUUUACUAGUUAGUGGCGAACGGGUGAGUAACGCGUGGGGAACCUGCCUUUAAGACGAGGAUAACUAUUGGAAACGAUAGCUAAUACUGGAUAGGAUAUAUUAUCACAUGAUUUUAUAUUUAAAGGUUUAAAACACUUAAAGAGGGUCCCGCGUCGCAUUAGCUAGUUGGUGAGGUAACGGCUCACCAAGGCGACGAUGCGUAGCCGGGCUGAGAGGCUGAACGGCCACAUUGGGACUGAGACACGGCCAAAACUCCUACGGGAGGCAGCAGUAGGGAAUUUUCGGCAAUGGGGGAAACCCUGACCGAGCAAUGCCGCGUGAAUGAUGAAGGUUUUCGGAUUGUAAAGUUCUGUUGUUAGGGAAGAAAUAUGCGGAUAGACUCUGUAUUUGACGGUACCUAACUAGAAAGCCCCGGCUAACUACGUGCCAGCAGCCGCGGUAAUACGUAGGGGGCGAGCGUUAUCCGGAAUUAUUGGGCGUAAAGGGUUCGCAGGCG